rnacentral:lncRNA from 10 species
AGCCUCUGCCAUGGAUGCAGGCGGAGAUCAGAAGGCCCAUCUCAGGAGGGCCUGAUAAGCCUGGGCAUCAAGGAAUGAGGAACAGAGAACCCAGGAAUAUUGCGCAUCCAGACCAGACAGUUUAGCCACAAAUAUCCUGCUGCCAGAGGACAGGGCUCCAUCCACUGCUUCUGCUUCUCUCAUUUCAUACAUCAACUUCGGAGGCUCCCCUUCACCUGCGCGGCUCCAACUGUCCAUCAUCACUGAAUAUACCCAGUACUCCUCUCCAGCCUAGGCUUCUCUCUAAGCAAAAUCCUAAGAGUGUAUAUUCCUGGACACCCUCACAUCUGCUUAACAGAAUCUCCUCUCCCAACCUGGAACCUGCAGAAUAUGGAUCAGGGAGCCCAGAUCAAAGACUGAGCACUAUCAGACACAUCCUUCCUCUAACACCAUGUCCUAUCCCACACCAAAUCUUCCAGCUUUGACCUCACUCAUGCUCUCAAAUAUGUCUGUCAGCUCCAAUCCAACCCCUGCCUCCUGUUUUCUGACCUGGACCACCCUAAUAGUUUCUUAAUAGUUCUUCCUGCCUCCGAGGCCCUCCUUUUUUUCAAGCCACCCUCCACAUUGCUGACAGACAGAGUUUUCUAAGAUUCAAAGUUAACUAAGUGAAACCCCCUGCAUAAGUUCUUUCAGUGGUUCCCCAUAUUAUUAUUUUUUAAAAUUUUACUUCAAGUUCUGGGAGACGUGCAGAACAUGCAGGCUUGUUACACAGGUAUACAUGUGCCAUGGUGGUUUGCUGCAACUAUCAACCCAUCAUCUAGGUUUUAAGCCCUGCAUGCAUUAGGUAUUUGUCCUAAUGCUCUCCCUCCCCUUGCCCCCUCUCCCCCAACAGGUUCUGGUGUGUGAUGUUCCCCUCCCUGUGUCCAUAUUCUUUAAAC